rnacentral:misc_RNA from 1 species
UCCGGCUUGACGCCGGCAGUCCCCCGAGAGUCCUCAGCAUGACCUGUUAGUAACACGGGGCAAGGGUUGCGCUCGUUGCGGGACUUAACCCAACAUCUCACGACACGAGCUCACGACAGCCAUGCAGCACCUGUCUCCGGUCCAGCCGAACUGAAAGGCUCCAACUCUGGUGCCCGCGACCGGGAUGUCAAAGGUUGGUAAGGUUCUGCGCGUUGCUUCGAAUUGAACCACAUGCUCCACCGCUUGUGCGGGCCCCCGUCAAUUCCUUUGAGUUUCAACCUUGCGGUCGUACUCCCCAGGCGGGGUACUUCCUGCGUUAGCGCCGGCACCCAGAGGGUCGCUCCCCCAGGCACCUAGUACCCAUCGUUUACGGCGUGGACUAC